UAAUAAGUGUUUUUAUGGCACUUUUUAAAUCCAUAUCCACCUUGUGUGCAAUGUCGGUCGAUCUUCUUUUUUUGAGGAUCGACCAAACAUCAACCUUUAUUUUUUAACUCUUUGUCUGAAAAAUACUAUGAAUAAACAAUUCAAAAUA
rnacentral:misc_RNA from 1 species